rnacentral:rRNA from 1 species
UCUGCCUUGUAGUGGGGGAUAACUUGCCGAAAGGUAAGCUAAUACCGCAUACGCCCUAAGGGGGAAAGCAGGGGACUCUUCGGAGCCUUGCGCUAUUAGAUGAGCCUAGGUCGGAUUAGUUAGUUGGUGGGGUAAUGGCUCACCAAGACCGCGAUCCGUAACUGGUCUGAGAGGAUGAUCAGUCACACUGGAACUGAGACACGGUCCAGACUCCUACGGGAGGCAGCAGUGGGGAAUAUUGGACAAUGGGGGAAACCCUGAUCCAGCCAUGCCGCGUGUGUGAAGAAGGCCUUCGGGUUGUAAAGCACUUUAAUUUGGGAGGAAGGGCUUACGGUUAAUAACCGCUAAGUUUUGACGUUACCAAAAGAAUAAGCACCGGCUAACUUCGUGCCAGCAGCCGCGGUAAUACGAAGGGUGCGAGCGUUAAUCGGAAUUACUGGGCGUAAAGCGCGCGUAGGUGGUUCAUUAAGUUAGGAGUGAAAGCCCCGGGCUCAACCUGGGAAUUGCUUCUAAAACUGGUGAGCUAGAGUACGGUAGAGGGUGGUGGAAUUUCCUGUGGUACGGUGAAAUGCGUAGAUAUAGGAAGGAACAUCAUUGGCGAAUGCGAUCAACUGGUAUGAUAUUGACACUGAGGUGCGAAAGCGUGGGGAGCAAAACGGAUUAGAUACCCUGGUAGUCCACGCCGUAAACGAUGUCAACUA